rnacentral:rRNA from 1 species
AUACGGAAGGUCCUAGCGUUGUUCGGAAUUACUGGGCGUAAAGCGCAUGUAGGCGGAACAGAAAGUUAGAAGUGAAAUCCCUGGGCUCAACCUAGGAAUUGCUUUUAAAACUUCUGUUCUGGAAUUCAGGAGAGGAAAAUGGAAUAUCCAGUGUAGAGGUGAAAUUCGUAGAUAUUGGAUGGAACACCAGUGGCGAAGGCGAUUUUCUGGACUGAUAUUGACGCUGAGAUGCGAAGGCAUGGGUAGCAAACGGGAUUAGAAACCCCGGUAGUCC